rnacentral:rRNA from 1 species
AACGAACGCUGGCGGCAGGCCUAAAACAUGCAAGUCGAACGAACCUUCGGGUUAGUGGCGCACGGGUGCGUAACGCGUGGGAAUGUGCCUCUGGGUGCGGAACAACGUCGGGAAACUGACGCUAAUACCGCAUAAUAUCUACGGAUCAAAGAUUUAUCGCCCAGAGAUCAGCCCGCGUCUGAUUAGGUAGUUGGUAGGGUAAUGGCCUACCAAGCCUACGAUCAGUAGCUGGUCUGAGAGGAUGAUCAGCCACACUGGAACUGAGACACGGUCCAGACUCCUACGGGAGGCAGCAGUUAGGAAUAUUGGACAAUGGGGGAAACCCUGAUCCAGCCAUGCCGCGUGUGUGAAGAAGGCCUUAGGGUUGUAAAGCACUUUCGUCUAUGAAGAUAAUGACAGUAGUAGAAGAAGAAGCUCCGGCUAAAUUCGUGCCAGCCGCCGCGGUAA